rnacentral:circRNA from 1 species
GAAAAGGACCAGGGAAAAGGAGAGGUCCAACAAUCAAGAUAUCCGGAGUUCAGGUUAAUGUGAAAUCCAUUAUCCAACAUGAAGAGGAGUUUGAGAUGCUGCAUAAAUCUAUCCCUGUGGACCCUGAAGAAAAAAAAAAAUACUGCUUAACCUGUCGUGUCAAAGCUGCACAUUUUGAUGUAGAGUGGGGGGUGGAAGAUGAUUCUCGCCUGUUGCUGGGGAUUUAUGAACAUGGCUAUGGAAACUGGGAGUUAAUUAAAACAGACCCAGAGCUUAAAUUAACUGACAAAAUUCUGCCGGUGGAGACAGAUAAAAAGCCUCAGGGGAAGCAGCUACAGACCCGAGCGGAUUACUUGUUGAAGCUGCUCAGAAAGGGUCUGGAGAAGAAGGGGGCUGUGACAGGUGGGGAAGAGGCCAAAUUAAAGAAGCGGAAGCCUCGGGUAAAGAAGGAAAACAAAGUGCCCAGGCUGAAAGAGGAGCAUGGAAUUGAGCUUUCAUCUCCUAGGCAUUCAGAUAAUCCAUCAGAAGAGGGAGAAGUGAAAGAUGAUGGCUUGGAAAAAAGUCCAAUGAAAAAAAAACAGAAGAAGAAAGAGAACAAGGAGAACAAGGAGAAACAAAUGAGUUCUAGGAAAGACAAAGAAGGGGACAAGGAAAGAAAGAAGUCAAAAGAUAAGAAAGAGAAG